AGCAGCAUGGCGCAGUGGAAGCGCGUUGGGCUCAUAUCUCUGGAUAUAGUUACCCAAAGGUCGCUCGAUCGAAACGAGCUGCUGCUA